GACGAACGCUGGCGGCGUGCCUAAUACAUGCAAGUAGAACGCAGUUGCGAACGGGUGAGUAACGCGUAGGUAACUGCCUGGUAGCGGGGGAUAACUAUUGGAAACGAUAGCUAAUACCGCAUACUACCAGAUGGACCUGCGUUGUAUUAGCUAGUUGGUGAGGUAACGGCUCACCAAGGCAACGAUACAUAGCCGACCUGGGAGGGUGAUCGGCCAAACUGGGACUGGGAAACGGCCCAGAACCCUACGGGAGGCAGGAGGAGGGAAACUUCGGCAAUGGGGGGAACCCUGACCGAGCAACGCCGCGGGAGUGAAGAAGGGUUUCGGAUCGUAAAGCUCUGUUGUUAAGGAAGCGGUACCGGAAGAGAAAGCAACGGCUAACUACGUGCCAGCAGCCGCGGUAAUAC
rnacentral:rRNA from 1 species